rnacentral:lncRNA from 1 species
AGACUUGUUUGGUUUCUGCUGAAAAAAAAGUUGAACGAAUUAAUAUGGCUGAAGCAAUUGUGUCGAUUGUUAUGGGAAGGCUCGCUGAUUUAUUGAUUGAAAAACCUCAAAUCCUUAAUGAAGUGAGCGAUGAAAUUCAACUAGCUGUGACCGAGCUCAUGCGGAUAAAGACAUUCUUACCAGAUGCUGAUUCAAGGAUGGAUGUAGAAAGAAUCCGGAUUUUGCUCCGGGAUGUACGAGAGCUUGCCUAUGAUGCUGAACAUGCUGUCGAAACUUUUGUUAUUAAAGCCUCAUCGACUAAAAAACCAUUUCAGUGGAUGAACAGAGGCAAGUUUUCAAGGAAGAUGAAAGAUAUACAAAAAAAGAUGUCCAUCUUCUUCGAUUUGUUUUCUGAUUAUAAUAUCAGACCAACUUCUGAAUCAUCAACUUCCUCCAACAGAGAAUCGGGAAAACUAAAGCGAUUUCACUCUUUCACUACUCCUGAACCAGAGAUAUUUGUUGGAUUUCAUGACGACGUUGAAUGCUUGGUGCGACAUUUGGUGAAUGAAUCUGAUGAUUCUUACCCACUUAUAUCUAUUUGUGGAAUGGGGGGUCUGGGAAAGACCACUCUAGCUCAAAAGAUAUACAAUCACUCCGCCAUCAAGACUCACUUUGCUGGUUUAGCAUGGGUAUCAAUCUCGCGAAAGUGGCAAACAGAUCGGGUGUUGCAGAGAAUUCUUAUAUGUCUCGUCCCUGAGAACAAAAACUCUAUCCUUAAUAUGGAGACUGACAAGCUAGUGGAGUAUAUGCUACAAAUCCAGGAAAGGAAAAAAUGCUUGAUAGUCCUCGAUGACAUAUGGUCAACACAUGAUUGGAAUGCAUUAAAAGCUGCAUUUCCAGCCGGGAAGUCCAUAAGCAGAUUAAUGCUUACAAGCCGUAAUGCUGAGGUUGCUGACUAUGUGAAUUUAAACGGAUACAUUCACAAGCCAAAAUGUCUAAGUCCAGAACAAAGUUGGGAGCUACUCAAGUUAAAAGCACUUCACACAGGAAAUUGUCUAGGUACAUAAUUUUGGUUGUGUUAAUUAUAUUUCAUAUGCUUUUUCUUUACCAUAUCUUUUGUUUGACAACCUUAACUAACUGUAUUUUUUGUUACCUAAGUUCCAUAAAUUUGGGAAGAAAUCUGUCCAGCAACCUAAAAGAACAUUGUUCUGUUCCAUAACAUAUCGUUCAUGUUCGUUUACAAACCUAUGUAUUAGAAUUGUAAACGAAUCUAACAGUUCAUUAAGUGCCCUCUUGAGGUUUGAGUUAACGAACUUGAGUUCGAACCACAUAUUUUGUUUAAUAACCUUAACAAACAUUAUGGGGUUCAGUAAUUUUAGCUCGUGUUAACUUCAAGUUUAUCCGAGUUAAGUUCGUCGAUGGCUCUAACUUGAAUGUGUCUUUUAAACAUUUGCACUAGUUAAAGAAUUAGAAAUUAUCUUGGCUUGUGUGUAUACACACAGACACACAUAUGAAUCCCGUUUGUUGUGUGUUGCAGACAUUACCAGAGAUGUAAAGAGGAUGGAAGAACUGGGAAGGGAAAUGGUUGAACAUUGUGCCGGUCUUCCGCUAGCUAUAGUCGUCUUGGGUGGAAUUCUUGUAACAAAACCAUCGUUGAUAGAGUGGGAGAAGGUAUAUCGUGAUAGUAAAUCAUCCCUGAAGGCGGGGAAAGGACUGGGAGAAGCCUAUCAAAGGGAAAUAUUAAGUUUUUUAAUAUGGAGCUACAAUGAUUUACCGCCUCAGCUGAAGCCAUGCUUUCUAUAUUUAUCUAAGUUUAGUGAAGAUGAAUCGAUAGACAUAGAGACUUUGUAUCAGCUAUGGAUCGCAGAAGGAAUGAUACUCUCGAGUGACAAAAGGGAAGGAGAAACAAUGAUACAAGUGGCUGAAUCAUACAUGGGAGAACUAGUCCACAGGAAUAUGGUUCAAGUGAGAUUUAACGAUGUAGAAUCAUCGCUUACAAAGUUUGAAUCUUGUUCUCUGCACGAUCUUAUGAGAGACAUGUCUUUAAUACAAGCAAAAGCAGAAGAUUUUUUUGAAGUAAUACAUUUCCAAAGUGGAAAUGAGUUUCAUCUCAAAUCUACUACAGAGUCAAGGUCAGCUUCCACUCGAGUUGUGAUUCGUUUGGAUGAGGAAUAUUCUAGCAAAGAAGCUAAUUACUACUUUACCAAGAAACGCAAUCAAAAAUGCUAUCGAUCAAUUUUACUCCUCUGUGAGUUUGGGGCGAGAAGUCUGCCACGGGCCCUGGGGUUACAUUUUGCCAAUUUUAGGUUCCUAAAAGUCUUUUCUGUGGAGAAUUAUACCAAUUUUUCUGGUGCAUUUUCUCAUUUUAAUGUUGGAAGAGCAUUAGGGUCCCUUGUUUACUUGCGAUAUCUUAGUGUAAGGGGCAGUAAUUUGUCGGUUUUUCCAUCUCUACAAAAGUUGGUGCUAUUACAAACUCUAAAAUUGGAUAUAUCCGACAAGAUAUAUGUUUUACCAUGGCUGUCAAGAGAUGUUCUGGUGAAGAUGGAUUGUUUGCGGCAUCUGUAUUUGCCGAAAUUUAAAGUUGACGUUUUGGGAAGGAAAUCGAAAUUACGGUUUAAUGGGUUGAGCAAGUUAGAGACCCUGGAGAACUUUGACACUAGUUGGUGUGAGGUUAAGGAUCUACGUGAGCUAAUCAAUCUUCGGAAACUAACGGUAACAGUGAGGGGUAGCUGUGAUAUUCUGGAAGAAAUGAUGAAAAACUUGGAUGAUGUAGCCUCCUCAGCAUCUUCAUGUCUGAGGUUCUUGGGUGUCACUAUUGUUUAUUGUGAUAUUGAGCUGAACAAUGAUCUUACGAUCUUAAAACAAUUGGUAUAUGCCGAAAAUUUGAACCUUCGGGAAUUGAAAAUAUAUGGGUGUAUCCCAGAGGUGGGUCUAAUAUUUCCGCUGCAUGUAUCCACAAUUUGUAUUACAACUUUAAAUUUAGGGGAAUCAUACCUGGAAGAAGACCCAAUGCCAAUAUUAGAAAUGCUUCCAGUGUUGAGUGUUCUCCGAAUGUAUAGGGAUACAUAUGUGGGGAAGGAGAUGGUGUGCUCCGCAACCGGUUUUCCUAAACUCACCGUUCUUAUUUUGCACGAGUUCACAAACCUUGAAAAAUGGAGGGUGGAGGAAGGAAGCAUGCCCAUCCUUUCAUACUUGAUUAUUGCAAGUUGUAACAAGUUGGAGGAGUUUCCCGGAGGCCUUGUGUUCCUCAAGUCCCUUCAAAUAAGUCAAAUGCCUCAAGAUUUCAAUGAUAGGCUUAAAAGGCAAGAUGGUGAAGAAGGACCCGACUUUCACAAAAUUUCUCAUGUCGGUAGACUCAUUAUUGAUGAUCAGGGCUACAUUUGAAUGUUCUUGUAAGUUAGGUAUAAAGUAUUGUUUUGGUCGUGAAGAACAUAUUGCUUGAGAACUUAUUUGAUCAUUUGCUUCUCAUUAAUAUUAUAUGAUCAAUUUAUUUUCCAUUAAAAUUAAUACUUUUACUGUUGAAAAUAAUUUUAAUUAAUAAGCAAAAAUUUAAAACAUAAAUUACAAAAUUAUACUUUAUAAAAAUAUUAAAGGGUUUGCCGAUUCACGUCCCCAACAUAUAUUAUUCAGGACGAUGGAGAGCGUAAUAAUUAAAUAAGUUCAAUAACCGGAUUUUGGACUAUAUAUUUUAGUAUCUUAAUGUUCGGUUAUUUUAUGAUGGUUAUUAAUAUGAGUAAAGAUUUGUAUAAAUUUAUAUUUAAAAAUUUAUGCAACAUGAAGUUAAAUAAAUUAUUUUAAUAAAUAAAUAUAGAUCAUCAUCAUCAUCAUGAUUAUUUUUUAUAUUUUUGGAACAAUUAUAAUAGUAGGAUUCUUAAACAAUUAUUUAAAAAUUAAACAUUUUAUGUUGAACUCUUAUCCUUUAAAAUAAAAAAAAAAUCACUACUUUUUUCAACGAAAAAAAUGUAUGUGUUGAAUUACAUUUGGUUGCAAACUCAAUCUUUUUUCUUAAGAAUUUUACAAAGAAAGUAAAUCACCUAAAAGGACUUUAAACAUAUGACAAAAAAGACUCUAAACAUGUGUUUAGAGUUUUAUUCAGAACAAACUAUUAGUUUCCAAUUACGAUCAUCAGUGAUCAGACUACUUAAAAGAACUACUCUUUUCAGACUAUUGCAAUUACGAUCAUCAUACUACUGAAAGAACUGCUACUUUAGAAAAAGGCUCAGCAUCCUCAGGUUCAUGUUCACACCAUAUUCUUUUGUGAACUAGGGGCACAAUUUUCAUCAUUUUCUUUGUCUUACAAGCCAUGCAAUCUAGUCAUUUGAAAUUGAUCACUUUAAAGACCAUCCUUGUGUCUCGUUCAUUUUUCUUGAGGUGAACAAGAGUUAAACAAAUUCGGAAGCGAUAAAUAUAACAGUCUUCUAACAGAAAAUCGAUUUAUGAUAAUUUUAGACUGCAGAAAAAGAGAGGAAAUAAUAUUUCACUGACCAAUAUGUAAUAUGUUUUCAUGCGAUUGCGGCCAACACAACAGAGCACAUUGUUUCCCACAUGUUGCAACAAAACACCAAAACUAGGAGACUUCUAACUCUUGACUCCACCCAUUGUUCAAACUUUUUCUUUGUGAUCUUCUCUUUUUUAUAAUAAAACACUUUUGGUUUUUUUUUUUUCUUUAUGGUUAAACUACAAUAUAUACAGCGUUUAGGACUGGGAAACUGCUUUCUUCAAGACGCUGAAGGCAACGAGCAUAAGCAGUGAUAUCAUAAUCUUCUUUGAAGCAAGAAUCCGCAAGUUCACCUUCAUGCCAUGGUCUCUCAUGAGCUUCACCGUUGCCCUAAUUACUGAAAUAAGCCAGAAUACAACGGACAAGAACACCAAUUUCAUUGUGUCUGCAGGUCCAUUCACAGUUCUUGUGCCUCCCGACACCUCGACAUAGGACCAAGCAGCGCCUUGAUUAUCGGUGGUUCCACUAUGAUUGAGGCCAAGUUUCUUGUUCAACCAACAUGAUAAAGUCACAAGCAGCUUUGCAAGCCAUGCAAUCUCAUCAUUGGAGACUGGUCGCUUCAACCAGUCACCCCUGUAUUUCAUACCGGUUUGCUUCUUGUUGCGUAUCACUCUAGGACUAAAUAUCUCAUCACGUGGAUGCUGAUUUUCUCUCGUCUCGGGGACUGCUUGUGUGUUCCUUGGAGUAGAGUUACCAAAUAAGCACCCCAUCUGGGCUUUGAUAGAAUCUAAACAAGCCAUAUUCUGAGCAUGAUUAUCUCCCAAGACAGUCUGCAGCUCCGACUCAGCACGCAACACAAAGAGCUGCAAUAACAAUGUGACUAGUGAGUGAGACUUGACAUUUAGAAUGACACCAUUUCAGUUCCUAGAAUUUAUAUGGUUCAUACAGAUAUAUUUAAGUACACUAUAUGCUAAAAGAAGAGAGGGGGAAAUAAACCUGUAGCAGCUGUUGUCUGCCAUCAUCACCAUCACUAAAUAACUGCAAAUCCUUGUUCCAAUUCUCGUGCAAGAAAGAGCCAUCAGCAUCAUUUUCACACAAUCCAUCCUCCCAGUCCUUGUAACGCAAAAAAGAACAAGGGAUUUACAUAUAAACAUCUGAAAAAGAGUUGAAGAAUGCGCUCGCGCACACAAAAGAGAUGCAGUUAGGUCUUCAUACCUGCAGUUGUUCUCUGAUUGAUGGAACAAAUCUGUACAAGUUGUUGUGUAUGGGUUUGGAUGACCCAGAAGGCUUAGAAUGGAAGACAGUGUCCACAUUGUUUAUAAGAUUCAUCAGCUCACUGGACGAUGUCAAUAUGCUUAAGACCUGCACAAGAAAUACAAGAAACAUAUACAAAAUAAGUAAACGGAAACUAUAACGAAUUGAUCCUGGGAUAAAAAUAUAUACUAAUUAUAAAAGAAAAUUUCCCCACUGUUACCCUGACUCUUCAUUUUGCCUCAAGUACCGGUGUCGGACACUCAACACUUGAACAUCGGACACUCAACACUUGAACAUAGGUACAGACACUACAGAACUUAUUUUAGGCCAAAAACAUGUAAAUUUUCAGAAUACUACCGAGACACACUCGGACAGGUAACCAUGUUGGACACUUUUAGCUGACUCCAGGUAAUAUAGAUUCUUCAUAUGUAAGCUUACCAGAAGUAUCCCAUCAGCGCCCAUAAAUGAAAAGAAGCCGAAAGAAACUAUAAAAGAGGAAUAUAGCAGAUUAUUAUUAAUUAGUAGCCUUGCAUAAGUUUCCUCUAUAAUUCAACACAAGUAGCUUUCUGUUGUCGUUCAUUCAGAUGUAUCCAUCGAGCAUUUGCCAGGACUGCUGAAGCAAUUUAGGCUUUUAUCUAUAGUCUAUGCAUGCAAAACUAUGGUUGACCGUCACUAACUACAGACCAAUUUAAUUUAUUUUUUAUUUAUCCUCUUAUGUUCUGCUUAUCCAGGUAAAAAAAAAAAAUUGAUUUGGUCAAAAAUAUACACAACACAACUAUAUAUGGAGAAACUUGUGAGCAAAUCCUAAAAAAUGCAUAACCAAGGAACUAUAGAACAAAUAGUUGAUCAACACAAAGCAUUGCCAGGAACUAGAAUAUCCACUUGAAGAAGACUGUACUUCCUUUUUAGUACCAUUGCUCGACACCUCAGCAUUUACAUCUAGACCAGAAAAAUCUUCAAAGCUAAUGUUCCAAGGUUCUAUAUAAUUAAUCCCAAGCCAAAACACCUGAGAUCUGGGAAGUACUGGACGCAAAUACGGGGAGUCCGGAAAAUGAGUAUUUGGCAUGGGAAUACCAAAAAUAUAAAAAAUAUUUAAAUUAUACUCCAUUUCACACUCUUAUUUCUUAGCACUCACACACAUUUUAAAGGUGCGUAUCCUUUAUUCUAUACAUCCACCACAAUAUGCAGUUAACCAAUAAGAAAAUAAAUGGAUCUGGAUAUGGAUUUGACUAAAUUCGAUACAAAUCCGACCCGCUGACAAGCCUGCUUGGAAACACAUCAAAUUAUUUAUAUUCUAAUCAUAAACUCAUAAAAGGAGAAAAACAAAAAAAAAAUAUGAUUUAAAAAGGUCAGAGUCAAAGCAGUGGACUGUAUACAGACAUAUGUGCAACACAUAUAUACAGAUCUGGACCAGAGAAGAGAUAACAAAACAAGCAGCAGAUUGAACUCAGAGAAGAGAUAACAGUCGGAAAGCGAAGUCACAAGGAGAGCUAACUGGGUAUGUAUCUUUGUAAUAUAAGCUCUGUUUUUUGUUUUAAUGAAUUAUUGCAGAAGAUUGAUGACUUAUUGUUGAACUUUGCAACCAAAGAACCAUGAAAAUGAUUCAAGACUGUCUCAGAGUCAUAUAGAAUAGUUUAAUUAAUAUACAGCAAAGGGGAAUAGUGAUCAGCAAUAUAGAAUCUAAUGUGCUCAUGACACCAAUACAUUUUUACUACUUUAUUACUCUCUCGAUCCCAUUUUUAACUACUUGUUUGGUUCCUGGAGAAGAAUAGGUUAAACAAAUUUAUAUGGCUGAAGCAAUUGUGUCGAUUGUUGUGGGAAGGCUCGCUGAUUUGUUGGUUGAAAAACCCCAAACCCUCUAUGAAGUGAGAGAUGAAAUUCAACUAGCGAUCACCGAGCUCACGCGGAUAAAGACAUUCUUACCAGAUGCUGACGCAAGGAUUGAUGUAGAAAGAAUCCGGAUUUUGCUCCGGGAUGUACGAGAGCUUGCCUAUGAUGUCGAAACUUUUGUUAUUAAAGCCUCAUCCACUAAAAAACCAUUUCAGCGGAUGAACAGAGUCAAGUUUUCAAGAAAGAUGAAAAAUAUACAGAAAAAGAUGUCCCUCCUCUUCAAUUUAUUUUCUGAUUAUAAUAUCAUACCAACUUCUGAAUCAACUUCCUCAAACAGAGAAUCGGGAAAACUUAAGCGAUUUCACUCUUUCACUACUCCUGAACCAGAGUUAUUUGUUGGAUUUCAUGAAGACGUUGAAUGCUUGGUGCGACAUUUGGUGGAUGAAACUCAUGAUUCUUACCCACUUAUAUCUAUUUGUGGAAUGGGGGGCCUGGGAAAGACUACUCUCGCUCAAAAGAUAUACAAUCACUCUGCCAUCAAGACUCACUUUGCUGGUUUAGCAUGGGUAUCAAUUUCGCGAAAGUGGCAGACAGAUCGUGUGUUGCAGAGAAUUCUCAUAUGUCUCGUACCUGAGAACAAAGAAUCUAUCCUUAAUAUGGACAGCGACAAGCUAGUGGAGUAUAUGCUACAUAUUAAGGAACGGAAAAAAUGCUUGAUAGUCCUCGAUGACAUAUGGUCAACUGAUGUUUGGGAUGCAUUAAAAGCUGCAUUCCCAGCCGGGAAGUCCAUAAGCAAAUUAAUGCUUACAAGCCGUAAUGUUGAGGUUGCUAAGCAUGUAAAUUUGAACGGAUUCAUUCACAAGCCAGAAUGUCUAAAUCCAGAACAAAGUUGGGAGCUACUCAAGUUGAAAGCACUUCACACAGGAAAUUGUCUAGGUACAUAAUUUUACUUGCGUUAAUUAUGGUUCAUAUACUUUUUCCGCACCAUAUCUUUGGUACGACGGCCUUAAUGAGCCAUAUUUUCUGUUACUUGAGUUGGAUAAGUUUGGUUAGAGAUCUGCCCAGACAACCUUAAAUAACAUUGUUCUGUUCAAGUAACAUUUUUUUCGUGUUUGUUUGAAUUCGUUAGUCGUUUACAAACGUAUGUAUUAGAAUUGUAAAUGAAUGUAACAGUUCAUUAAGUGCCCUCUUGAGGUUGAGUUAACGAACUCGAAUUCAAACCACAUAUUUUGUUUGAGAACCUUAACAAACUUUAUGGGGUUCAGUAAUUUUUGCUGGUGCUGACUCGAAGUUUAUCCGAGUUAAGUUCAUUUAGGGCUACAACUUGAACGUGUCUUUUAAAUAUUUGCACAAGUCAAAUGACUAAAUUAGAAAUUAUCUUGGCUUGCGUUUGUGUGUCUAUAUAUACACACAUAUGAUUCCCGUUUCUUGUGUGUUGCAGACAUUUACNUUUGGGAUGCAUUAAAAGCUGCAUUCCCAGCCGGGAAGUCCAUAAGCAAAUUAAUGCUUACAAGCCGUAAUGUUGAGGUUGCUAAGCAUGUAAAUUUGAACGGAUUCAUUCACAAGCCAGAAUGUCUAAAUCCAGAACAAAGUUGGGAGCUACUCAAGUUGAAAGCACUUCACACAGGAAAUUGUCUAGGUACAUAAUUUUACUUGCGUUAAUUAUGGUUCAUAUACUUUUUCCGCACCAUAUCUUUGGUACGACGGCCUUAAUGAGCCAUAUUUUCUGUUACUUGAGUUGGAUAAGUUUGGUUAGAGAUCUGCCCAGACAACCUUAAAUAACAUUGUUCUGUUCAAGUAACAUUUUUUUCGUGUUUGUUUGAAUUCGUUAGUCGUUUACAAACGUAUGUAUUAGAAUUGUAAAUGAAUGUAACAGUUCAUUAAGUGCCCUCUUGAGGUUGAGUUAACGAACUCGAAUUCAAACCACAUAUUUUGUUUGAGAACCUUAACAAACUUUAUGGGGUUCAGUAAUUUUUGCUGGUGCUGACUCGAAGUUUAUCCGAGUUAAGUUCAUUUAGGGCUACAACUUGAACGUGUCUUUUAAAUAUUUGCACAAGUCAAAUGACUAAAUUAGAAAUUAUCUUGGCUUGCGUUUGUGUGUCUAUAUAUACACACAUAUGAUUCCCGUUUCUUGUGUGUUGCAGACAUUUACAAAGUGGACAUGAGUUUCAUCUCAAAUCUACUUCAGAUUCAAGGCCAGCUUACACUCGACUCGUGAUUCAUUUGGAUGAGGAAUAUUCUAGCAAAAAAGCUAAUUACUACUUCUCUAAGAAAGGCAAUGAAAAAUGCUAUCGAUCAGUGUUAUUCUUUGGUGUCUUCGGUCCGAGAAGUUUGCCACGGGCAUUGGGGUCACAUGUUGCCAAUUUUAGGUUCCUAAAAGUGUUUUCUGUAGAAAAAUACACAAAUUUUUCUGGUACGUUUUCUCAUAUUAACUUUGGAAGAGCAUUAGGGUCCCUUGUUUACCUGCGAUAUCUUAGUGUAAGGGGCAGUAAUUUGUUGGUUUUUCCAUCUAUGCAAAAGUUGGUGUUGUUACAAACUCUUAACUUAGAUACAUUCGAGGGUAUGUAUGUUUUACCAUGGCUGUCAAGAGAUGUUCUGGUGAAACUGGAUUGUUUGCGGCAUCUGUAUUUGCCGAUAUUUAAAGUUAACGUUUUGGGAAGGAAAUCAAAAUUUCGGUUUAAUGGGUUGAGCAAGUUAGAGACCCUGGAGAACUUUGACAGUAGUUGGUGUGAGAUUAAGGAUCUACGUGAACUAAUCAAUCUUCGAAAACUAACGGUAACAGUGAGAGGUAGCUGUAAUAUUCUGGAAGAAAUGAUGAAAAACUUGGUUGAAAUAGCCUCCUCACCAUCUUUUCGUUUGAGGUACUUGGGUGUUUGUAUUCUUAAUUGUCAUCUUCGGCUGAAAAACGGUCUUACUAUCUUGAAACAAUUGGUGUGUGCUGAAAAAUUGAACCUUCGACAUUUGAGAAUACAUGGGCGUAUCCCAGAGGUGGGUCUAAUAUUUCCAGUGCGAUAUGUUGGGGAUAAUUAUGCACAUGUAUCUACAAUUCAUAUUACAAGUUUAAAUUUAUCGAGAUCAUACUUGGAAGAGGACCCGAUGCCAAUACUUGAAAUGCUUCCAAUGUUGGGUGAUCUCUUUAUGUUUACAGAUACAUUUGUGGGGAGGAAGAUGAUGUGCUCCGCAACCGGUUUUCCUAAACUCACCAAUCUUUGUUUGUACGAGUUCCCCAAUCUUGAAAAAUGGAGGGUGGAGAAAGGAAGUAUGCCUAUCCUUUCAUACUUGCUUAUUGAAAGUUGUAACAAGUUGAAGGAGCUUCCAAAAGGCCUGGUGUUCCUCAACUCCCUUCAAGUAUUAAGAAUAUACCAAAUGCCUCAAGAUUUCAAUGAUAGGCUUACAAGGAAUGAUGGUGACGAGGGACCUGACUUUCACAAAAUAUCUCAUGUCCGUAGAGUCCGUAUAGAUAAUGAUCAGGAAUACAACUGAACGUUCUUGUAAGUUCCUAAGUUGUAACGUUUUUGUUUUGGUCUUGAAGAACAGAUUGUUUGAGAAACAAAUCAGAGAUAUUAUUAUAAUAUAUAGUAAUAAUUUUUUGAUGAGAAAAAAGGAGGUGAGAUCAACCUUAUUUAAACUGAUUGCUUCCUAAGGUUAAAUGACACACAUGCAUAUGUUCGUUAGGUAUCGUGUAAUCUCUCUAUUUUUAUUAAAAAAUACCUCUAUUUACCUGAUAAUAUCUUCACUCCAUCUACAUACAUCAAAAGUAAUUCAUUUUUUUUGUCUUAUGUUGAUUCUGGGCCUUGGAAUGGAAUAGCAAACACACGCAGAUGAGUAUAAUUCAAAGUAAUCUUCUUGUGAAUGUAGUUUAUAAUUCACUUUAAUUUUUUUAGGAAAUGAGUAAUAAUAUUGAAGAUUGUCAAAUUCUGGAAGAUUCGCCAUCUGAGGAUUCAUUGUCUACCAAUUUACAGGAUACCUACACUGCUGAAUUGGAUAUAGAGGAUGGUACACGAGCAUUUUUCAUGUCUCAUGAAGAUAUGUUAUUUCAAUCACAAGAAGAAGCAUAUAAUUUUUAUAACAGCUUUGGUUUGACUAAAGGAUGUGCAAUAGGUAAAUUUUAUAUAUACAAGUCUUAUGGUGAGAAGAACUCUUGUAUCUGAUAGAGAAGGUUUCAAAAACAAAAUAAGAGGAUGAUAGUGAGGACAACAUAAAACGACGUCGAGAAACUAGAUGUGGUUGCAAAGGUUCAAUGGAAAUUAUCCUAAAGAAAUUAGGGACAUGGAAAAUGAAAAAAAAAUUAAUAAUAUCCAUUCACAUGACUUGCUCAAGAGUCCGAAUAAGAAAAGAAAAUUAAGGUCUCAGAACAAGUUUCAUUAAGAUGCAACUUAUAAGAAAUUGAUUGAUAAAUUUAGUAGUUGCGGAGUUGGGCCAACAAAAAUAUCAGGCAUUAUAAAUACUGCUAGUGGUAGUGUUACAGAUGUCAUGACACCCCAACAAUAUUCUGAAGAGUUAAGAAUUAAGAGAAGAUAUUCAGAAUCAAGAGAAAAAAUAACAUCGGCAAGGAGUGUAUAAUUAAUGUAGUGCGGAUUAUUUUUAGAGAGGAAAGCAAGAUAUUCUGAAUUUUAGUAUGCCAUUCAACUUGACGAACAUGGCUGUAGAAGUAUUUUCUGGUGUUAUGCCAGAGCGAGAAAAAUUUUAUAAGAAAAUUUCUGAUGUGAUAGUAUUAAUCGGGACUAAUACAAUUUAUUGUAGGAAUGGAGUCUUCUCAAAGAAGUGAAAGUACGAAUUCGUUUUUUGAUGGUUAUGUCAAUAGCAAUACUCCUUUGUCUAUAUAUAUUGACCCGUAUGAAAAAGAAAUUACUGGCCAUCGUGAUAGAAAAGAGAUAGCAGAAUUGGAUAUCAAUGACAACUAACCCUGAUUUGACAAAUAUGCAUAGCUUGGAAGCUCAUGCUGGAAAAGUUUAUUCUCGAAAUAUAUUCAAAUUAUUUUAGAACGAAUUUAUGCAGAUUUUGCAUUGCCAGCAUAACAAAAAAGUAGCUGCAGGUGUCUAGAUGGUGUAAGAUGUAACUUUCAACGAUCAUAAUAGGCCACACAUCUGUUAAGGUUUGCAAGUGUUCGUGCUAAAUUUGAGACAUGGGGUAUUGUAUGCAAACACAUAUUGUAUAUAAUGAAAUAAAAAUUAAGAUUAAAGAUCAUACCUGUUGAAUAUAUUUUGUCAAGAUGGACCUUAAAAGGCAUACAAUUAGUUCAACGGUCAGUGUGAACAAUGAUGGUGCACCUGGUUUGAAUAUAGAUUGUAACACGCGUAGGUAACAUCUCUUGAAUCUUUGACAUUGUGAGGUGAUUUUAACAAACUUCAUGGAAAGAUAAUUACUCGUAGAGAUCUCUAUGAAGUAAUGGAAAGGGAAAUAAAGAUGUGGUGGAAAGACAUUGACAUGAUUGAAAGUAAAUAAGUGCCACCACCGCCAGUGUCCGUAAAUGUAGAUGAUUUUUCAGAGGCAAAUAUAUAUAGCGGAUAAAAGUCCUUAAGAGAUCAUGUUAAAGUUCAUCAUCAGCGAUCCUACCAGAUGCAAGACGAAACGUAGACCGCGUAAUUCAUCCAAAAUCCCUACCGGAAUGUAGCAAUUUCAAGAUUUGAAGUAGAAAAGAGUUUGUGGAAAUUGUGGUCGGAAUGGGCACUACAAGAGUACAUGUAAAAGUAGUAAAUAAUGAAUUUUUUUAAAAAUACUAUGUUGCCUUGUUUUUAAACUCAGCAGUUCUUCUCAACUUUUAUUUGGUUUCAGAUUUUUAUUAAAAUUAAGUUCAAAAAAAAUUCCAACUAAUUUAGUCUAUAUUAAUUUUAUGAAAUUCCUGUCAAUUUUUACCAGUAUGUUAGCCAAUAUAUUCCUGGUUAUAAGUGGCAGCGGUGCUUAUAGUCCAGGCACAUUUAUUGUUGCACGAUUCCUGAAUGCUAAUAUGGAGUUAGCCAGAAAUUUUCUUGUUUUAUGCAAAUCCAGAAAUUUGCUCUCUACUUUUAUUCAGUUUAUGAAAUGGACAGUUUAUAAGCUCCGAAAGGUAUAUCUAGUGAUUUUGUCCGCAAGUUCUCGACCACUUGCAGACCGUCAAUAUCAAUACCAGGCCACAUUUAUUAUUUUCACACUAACUUUUAAGUUGUGGAGGGUCGAGAAAUCAAAAUGCAUGUAAUCAGGAUAAGCCAACAAGGAUGCUGUCAACUGUUUUGUUGCAGGACCAGACUCACAACUAUUUGUCGGUGUUAACUGGCCACACUGGACCAGUCAAGUGUAUUCCAUUUCAAGGGUCUUCUGCUCACCAGUGUAGUGUUUAUGAUAUGAAAGUAGACCUGCAAGCAUAAAAGCAAGCAAAUGCCAGCCUUCCUAGCAAAUAAUAACUUACAUGUUUGCAAUGAGUGUUUCCUAACUUUGUGACUGCAUAGUGACUAAGAAAAAAUCAAAGAAAUCAGUUGAUUACAGGUUCUGUUUCACUGGAGUCCAUAAUUAAGCAUAGCUGGGUAAUCUGAGGCAUUAAUCACCAUCCCCUGAAAUGCAUUUUCUUACUGCUCUGUUGGUAAUUUUUAUUUUAGUAGCAUUGAAUACUCGGAUUCCUGAUGAUUAUGUUUGCUAAUCCUACUACUAUUGUAUAAUGUUAAUGGACCUAGAGCAUCUGCAAUGAGAUUUUUAAACAAGUUCUUAACUCUAAAUUUAUAGAGUAAGUUAAGAAUUAUUGCUCCAAUGAGCUCCAAGAAGCUCUUUAAAAAUUUAAGAGCCUACUAUCUCCUCACUUUUAAAGAGCAUCCAGUAGCUCUUAUCUUUUUAUUUGUGAAUAUAAUAUUAAUUUCCCUCCAAUCUUCUCUCUCUUUUAAUUAAGUUUUCUCUCUCAUUUAUACAAAAUAAAUAUAAAAUAUGAAUAAAGAGCUACGUAUAAACAGUAGCAUUAAAGUAAUCAUGUUUUUCAAUGUAUUAAGUCACUAGGGGCCAUAAUUUAUAUUAUUGUUUAAGAAAUGAUUUAGUAGCACCAUUGGAGAUGUUCUUACUCCUUGUGAACAUAGAAUAAAUUAUUUUUUUUGUGCCAAUUCAGUUACGUAAAGAUUUGUCAGAAACAUUUUGUUACUCCACACUAUAAAUUGUCGUGGACGAAUUUUGACCCAUGACAAGUUUUCUCUUCAUAACAUUAUCACUUGGAAAGGUCCUUCAGCAAAUGACAGGAUGUCACCAAUUGCCAAAUUCAUUGCAAUUGCGAACUAUUAAAUUUUUGUUAAUUCAUGUUGGAGUGCAUGAACUGCUAUAGCUUUAAUAUACAUGAUUUCCCGACCUGAACUGCUAUGAGUGUUUCCUAGAUUUGAUGGUGAUCAAUAUGUUCAUGGACGGGGCAUCGCCAUCUCAGAGGAGAAGCGGAAGAGGAUGCGACAAGAAGAUUUAUGUGUGUAUUGUAUACUCCCUCCGUCUCAUUCAUUUGUAUACAGUUUCUUUUUUUUGACGUCCCACCAAUUGUAUAUAUUCCAAAAAUAGUAAACUUUUAUAAUAUAAAACACCAUUACACCAACUAUUUUCCUCCACUAUCUCCAUUCUAUAACAAUAUAAACACUAUUACACACAUUACUUUCCUCCACUAUCUCAAAUCUAUUAUUAAAUAUAAAUGGGUCCCACCACUAUACCUACUUUUCAUCUAACUUUACUAUUUUUUACAUUUUUUCUUGGUCUUCGUAUCCCAACCAAAUGUAUACAAAUGGUUGGGACGGAGGGAACUAGAGCACACGUGAUAGUCAUCAAUCCAGUCAUUUUAAUUUGUUCCCAAAGCUUGGGUGGUGUGGAUGUUAAUAUCGUCUGAGAACCAUUCAUGUUUGAGCAAAGAGUUGCGUGUUAAUAUCGUCUGAGAACCAUUCGUGUUUGAGCAAAGAGUCAUUUGAGUAAAUAUGAAAGAUCUCCCCUGUAGAUGUAGAAACCAUUGAAGUUAUAUAAAACUCAAGCAAAUCACAAAUGCACACACAGGUGAGACAAGCUCGUUUUAUUAAUCCGAUAAAUUGCUGCUUACAAAAUGAAAGAAACACACUCUGAUAAACUCAAGUUCAGAGUGUUGGAAAAAAAGUCCUACUUAAACAACUAGCUAAGAUGGUAAGGAUAAACAAGAACUGCUGCCUAUGGUUAAUCCACUCCUACAUGCACUCAUGAAAAACAGCUACUGCUAUGGCCUAAUCUUGUGUGCACACUGAUCACAUAGCAACUUAUUUAAAUUAACUAAAUUAAAUAAAAGCAACUGAAGUAUAUCAGAAUUUAGAUCAAACUCCAACAAGCUCCCCUAAUCUAAACUCGAUUGCAGGUUCUUCACACCCAAUAGCUCACACAUUCCCUCAAACUUAGCCCUUGACAAUGCCUUGGUCAAUACAUCAGCUCUCUGUUCAUUUGUGUUGACAUGUACUUUGAGUAUAAUUUCACCACAUUCUACACAUUCCCAUAUAAAGUGGUAGCGAAUAUCUAUGUGUUUACUCCUUCAUGAAACACUGGAUUCUUUGCCAAAUCUAUUGCCCACUUGUUAUCAAUAUACAGCACCACAGGACCAGCCUUUAUAUUCGUCAUCCGUCUGAGAAGUUUAUAAAGCCAUAUGCCUUGACACGCAGCUGCGUUGUUUUUGACAUUGCCAUACCUCUAGUAGACCUCUUGUCAUCCACAUUUCCAACUAGGUCGCUGUUUGAAUAUCCUGAGAGCAAGUAGUUUCCAUCCCGUUUAGAAUAAACCAACCCAUAAUCAAGAGUUCCAUUCACAUAACGUAAAAUUCGUUUUGCUGCAGCUAGGUGCAUGACUAUGGGUCUCUCCAUGAACCUGCUUACAAUGCCAACUGAAUAAGCUAUAUCAGGUCUUGUAAAUACAAGAUACCUGAGUCCUCCAACCAUACUUUUAAGGCUUAAUGACCUUUUAGCCCUCGAAGUAUGAAUGGAAGUUCCGAUGCGGUCUUGAAGUUUAAAAACGUACCUUUCGACCCUCAAAGUAUUUUUGUCGUACCUUUUAGCCCUUUUUAAAAAUACCGGCAUAAAUCAGGGGAUAACUUGAAAAAUAGGCAAGAGCAUAACCCAUCAGCACACCAAGAAUUCCUACUAAUUCUCAUUUUAAGCCGACCCUUGAACAUAUAUAAACCAUGUAGGCAAGUAUUCCUUAAUUAAAGAAUGAAUAAAACUUUCUCCAUCUGUUAUCUAAACUAUUGAAGCCACCAGCGAAGUUGCAACCUUGACAUGUGCCAUUGCUGCAGCAAAAGAAACCUGAUUAUAUCGCAUUCCGUAUUUUACUUUUUUCAGCUUCUCUAGUUAUUCUGUAGGCAAUCCCUUAGUUGCAAUUUCGCUAACAGUAUCCAGCAGCUGGGUAACUAUUUCUUUUGAGAUAAAUAUAACAUUCCCGACAGAUCGGUGGACACGUAGGUAAAGUAUUCCAUUCAUUAUUGUUUUUCCAUGUCAGACAUACCAAUCAUUGCCAUCUGUCAGCAAGGUGGAUGUUGUUGAGGUUAAAUUUUUCAACUUAACGUUUGCUGUUAGAUUUUUCUAAAAAAGUUAAUAGAAUGAUAUAUAAUAUAACAGUAUUUUAGUGGGUUAUAUGAGUCGCCGUGGAGAUCGGGUAGCUACUUGAUAUAUUUUGCUGAGUUCGAUGGGCAAUCUGAUAUAAAACCCAAAACCAAACCAAAUUAAUACUAAAUUUGAUAUUUGAUAUAAUAUAUGAUUUUGGUUCAUAAACCCGUCCAAAUCCAUAUUAAUCAACUAAAAUUGGUCCAAAACAUGAGAGGUCUACUUACUCUCUUGACACAAUUGGUAUAUGAUGAAAAUUUGAACCUUCGGGAAUUGAAAAUAUAUGGGCAUAUCACAGAGGUGGAUCUAAUAUUUCCGCUGCAAUAUGUUGGGGAUAGUAAUGCUCAUGUAUCUAAAGUUCGUAUUACAAGAUUACAUUUAUCGAUUUCAUACCUGGAAGAAGACCCAAUGCCAAUACAAUACUGGAAAUGCUUCCAAUGUUGGGUGUUCUCUGUUUGUUUACCGAUACAUAUAUGGGGAAGGAGAUGGUGUGCUCUGCAACCGGUUUUCCUAAACUCACCCACCUUUUUCUGGACAGCUUACCGAAUCUUGAAAAAUGGAGGGUGGAGAAAGGAAGCAUGCCCAUCCUUUCAUACUUGCGUAUUCAAAGAUGUAACAAGUUGGAGGAGCUUCCAGAAGGCCUGGUGUUCCUCAAGUCUAGGGGUGUGCACGGGUCGGUUCGGCUCGGUUUCUACCUAAAACCGUUACCGAACCGUGUAUUUCGGUUCGGUUCGGUUUUUGGGUAGAAACCGUAACCGAACUGUUUCAAACGGUUUUUUUCGGUUCGGUUAACCGUGGUCGGUUGCGGUUUUUUUCCGGUUUUUAUAUGAUUAGAAACUACUAUACAAAUUUAAUACUUUUAUUAAUUUUAGAAAAAUAUUUAUAUACUUAUUAUAUCAAUUUUUCUUACUAGAAUAUAUAAUUAAUAUAUUGUAGCACAUAUAUAUAUAUAUAUAUAUAGGGAUAUGAUCAAAUAAAAACUUUUUUAAGUUACAAACUUACAAACUUUUUUUUAUUCUCCCAUCGUGUUAAUCCUUAGUUAUAUAAAGUAUCUAUGUUGAAAAUUCUUCAAAAAAAAUCACAAUUUUUAAAAAUAACGCAUAAAUAAAUCGCGUUUUCAACACAUUUAUAACUGGGGUUCAACAUCGGGUGUUGAACACUAAUUAUCAUUGUGUUGAAUAUAUCUAAAAAGAUGUUUAAACUAUACCUCUGGGGUUUGGGUAGGGUCUAGAAACAUAAAUAUUAGUUAUAUAACAUGUUUACCUUAGUUCUUACAUUUAAAAAUUGGUUUACGUACUUCUCCACCACUAUUUUAAUCGAUGUUCAACAAAAUAUGUUAAAAAAAUGUUGAACUCAAGUUAUAUAUGUGUUGAACAAAAAAAGUUUGUAAGUUUGUAAGUUUGUACCAGAACCCUCCCCUAUAUAUAUAUAUAUAUAUAUAUAUAUAUAGAGGAAAGUUAUUUGGAGUACCAUAAUUUAUUGGAGUCUUGGAGUCCACAUCCAGGCCAUCCAUUCUUUUUUGAUCCAAAGGCUGCUAUUAAGACUCAUUUCUUUUAUAAAAAUAUAUAAUUUAAUAUAGCAUUUAUACAUACAGGCGUGCUAUUUCAGAUAACUGCAACUACUUAAAUCAAGCAGUUACAACAAAUUGAGAGUUUUCAGGAGUACAACACGCAAACAUGUCCUGCAACAUCUGUAUCUUACACUUCGCCCACUGAUUAGUAACUUCGUUAAUAUCUUUCUUUGUUUUCACAUUUCUUUGUUUAAACUUUUCUACGAAAUGCUUAUAAUAUCACUCUGUAUGAUGUUUUAACUUGUACAGUAUCAUACAAAGGAUGAUCUUACUAUUCUGUGUAAUUAAGGAGCAUACGAUUUACGAAGGGACACAUGUAUACUCAGCUAUAAUAUUGUAGUAGAGCUUUCCAUUCCUUUUACACUACACCAAUUUUAACUUCAUAAGGAUUUGGAACUAAUUAAUGUUGGGUUGCUUAUAACAUACCAAAAAUCUAAAGCAGGAUUUUACAAAACUUCAUCAAAAAGAAAAUUGCAAACAUAUUUUCACUAAUUAGCUUCAAUGCAAUAACCUCAUUCACAUUGUCACCAACCCAAAAGUUCCGAAAUAAAAACAACCAUUCAAACCGGUCCCAACAUAUAACGUAUCAAAUGUUCUAAAAAACCCAAUUAAGUAGUAGUGAUAACAAGACUGUUUACAUAAAUCUGCUACAUUUCACACAACUUCUUCCUGCUCAACCGCACCAUCUUAUUCAGCACAAAGUACUUUUUUUUGUUCUCCGACCAUGUGAGCAUACGACUUGCAUAUAAAAAUAAACUUUUUCUGGAUGUAUCCCUCAUACGUCCUAAUCUUCUUCACCUUGUCUACCUUGGUUGGUGUCCCUCGAACUACCACAUGACCCCUGCUAGCACUACUUUGAACACCGCGUCUGCGUGUCUGGUACCACAAUAAAUAAAUUAGAAUAUUAUCAGGACUGCUGCACAAAUGCCAUAUACAAAAUUAAUAUUCUUACAUUUAGCACAUUAAUAUUACCUUUGUAAUUUUUUUCACUACAGAACCUACCCUCGAUCGGUCAGGUGUUCUAUCGGGUACAAUUUCUCCCUUAUCACUGGUGCCCUGCAGAUUACAAUUAACAACACAACUACAGUAUAAAUAAACUACAUAAGGCGUCAACAAAAGUACAUUACAAACAACAUAACUAACAACUCGCAAACAACAUUUCGCAUAUGCACAACUAUGGCAACAAGAAGAAAGUUUCUAUGGAAACAAAUAUAUAUUACAAUAGUGUGACAAAUAUAGGUGUAAAGUUUUAUUGAAUUGUGAGGUCCAUGGGGAUUGUUCUUUUAGUGUGAGCUGUGUUUUUUUUAUUUAGGUGAUGUGAAUAUGCAGUACUAUGGCAACUUGCUCUUGUAAAGAGAAGUCGCAAGCUGUAACAUUUUCACCAUACUGGGUUUUUUUUAAUUAUUAAUUAUGUUUUUCUUACAUUUUUGCUGCUUGCAGAAUAUCUUCUUUUUGCUGAUGUAAUAUGUCAAAAAAAUAAUUGCCAACAGGUAAGCAUAAUGUUUGUGACUCUGGACAAAGUUGCUCCGGCAGAUCCCAAAUAUGCUAAUAUAUUCAUUCUAGAGAAGUACACUGCAUUUCAGAAUAGUACUGUUAUCUGCUUCAGUUUUAUGUUUAUAUUCUUUUGUUUCAUAGUUUUCUGGGCAGUUGCCUUUAUAAUUUACAGUAUAGUAUAAUUCAAAUAAAUUCACUUUAAUAUGCUGACAAGAUCUAAUUGAAUGUAGUCUAUAUGAUCUAGCUAAUGUGGUGCCAACUUUAGCGAAAUUUUAUCACCAAGCAAGUGAAUCUUAUGAACAAGACAUAUCAGUGUGAUCAUAUAAUAUUUAAGAAAUCUUGUUCUGCAUCGUUCUUCCUUAAAAGAAUCUACCUAAGUUGCAUGUGAUAUAAAUGGUUGUAUUCUGCACUUCUUUUGAUUGAGGACUUAAUGUACACGAUUACACCAGAAGAGGUUAGUCUCUGGACUUCCUUUUGAGCACAAAAAUUAUUGGCGUGAUAUCCAUAUACGUGGUACUUCUCAUUUUACUUGUAAUGUCAUUGUAUAUAUAUCAACAUACCCGUUGUAAAUUCAUCUCAUUAGUGCGACGCACGCUCUAUAGGACUGAAAACACUAGUAAGGCUAUAAAAAUAAAUACAAUUACAGUUUAUGCUUCACUCCUAAUAUAACACAUUUGAAACAUGUAUCUUUGAACACCUACAUGCAACUUCCUAGGGGAAACACGACAAAGGCUCUAAAACUGCAUAGUUUAAUGUUUUCAUUCUGUAGGCAAUCCCCAUGAAUACACACAUAAAUACACAUAUAUAUUGCAGUACAGAAUUACAAAAUUUCAAACCUCAAUAAUGCAGAACAAAAAAACUAUUAGUUCUCUCCAUUAUUGACAUUACCUCUGAAAUUUUAGAUGCCGUGGAGCCUACUCUCGGCUUGUCAUUCUUAGAAACUGCAGCAACAUCCCGUCCAUCACUUUUGGCCUGCAAGUUGUAUACGUCGCCACAUACAAAUAACAACAAAAUCAAUGUCCUCCAUUGUUGACCAUAAUACAUUCAUAGGUCACAUUCGGGGAAAGUGAUAACUAUCGUGUGCUGCAACAUAACUUACCCCGCUUCGUACAUGUUUCGUACUAGAACCCGUGCGAACCCCAUAUCCAGCAGAGAAUAUUUGCAGAACAAACACAAUGGUUCCAUUGAUUAUUUAACAUACAAAAAAACCCAUUCCCCCCCUACGAAACCAAAAAAAACCUAUUGCAUUACAAGCACUUCCCAAAUAGCAUAGGACAUUUUAAAAGACUCAAAAAAGUUUAAUAUCAUAGCAGUGUCAAGUGCAGAACAAAGAAAGACUUUCACUCAGCAGCUUCGCAACAUAAGGGACAUAUGCAGGACACGUAUUCAGCAAUUAGAAAGCCUCAUCUUCAAAGUCCCAAAUUCAGUCAAUGUCUUUGCAACAUCAAAUGCAAAACAAACAGAUGGUUCCAUUGAUUAUGUAGCACAAAAAAUAAACCCAUUUGGCCCCUACUAAACAAAAAUAAAACUUUUGCAGUACAAGCACUCCCCAAUUAGCAUAGGACAUUUUUAAAGACCCAAAAAAGUUUAAUAUAAUAUCAAUUUCAAGUGCAGAACAAACAAAGAGUUUCAUUAUUUACACAGCAAAAAAAUAAUUUUCAAAGAGGCACAACGAGAACUGAAGAUAAUAUGCAGGAGUACCCAUCGACCAAAGCCACCGUAAAAAUCAAAUACCGUCAACCCACUCACCAAUUAUGCGACAUACAAUUCAAUUAAAGCACAUAGAAAUAAAUUGUUGGUCGUGCCUAAGAUCAUCGUUGCAUACAACUGCAGCCUCGCCUCAAAAGAUUUAUUGAGAUUGAAGAGUCCCGCACCGCUGGAGAGUGUGGGGAAUACCUGAACUCAUAAUGCAACAGCCUAGAAUCGUCCUGCAGACAACUACUGAGCCGGUGAAUUAAGUCUGUAGAGUCCCGCACCUAGGGUUGAUCACAGCGAAAUUCAAACCCUGUUGAUAAUGGACGUAGUUUGGAGCGGAAAAUGCGGGAUAUGGCUAUAAUUUGGAGUUUAAAAUUGAUUAAAACUGAUCCUGCAGCAUUUUAAUUCAUUAAAUCUCAACCAUAGGAUCUUCUUAAAAUUUAACGGUAGAUCUUAGGGACUCCAAUUUCUCAAUUAAUAUAGUACCCCAUAGAUCUCAACUCUAUAUAUAUAUAUAUAUAUAUAUAUAUAAUAUGUUAUAUAUAAUAAUAUAUAAUAAAUGUUAUAAUUUUAUUAUAUAUUAUAUAAACGGUUCGGUUUUUCGGUUCGGUUUUAGGGGUAAAACCGUAACCGUUACCAAACCGUUAUAUCAGUUCGGUUACGGUUUUUGUCGGUUACAGUUUUUUUCGGUUUGGUUUUUCGGCUCGAUUUCGGUUUUUCGGUUUUUUUCGCUCACCCCCUGCUCAAGUCCCUUCAAGUAUUAAGAAUACACCAAAUGCCUCAAGAUUUCAAUUAUAGGAUUAAAAGGGAUGAUGGUGAAGAGGGACUCGACUUUCACAAAAUUUCUCAUGUCCAUAGACUCAUUAUCGACGAUCAGGAAUACAAUCGAAUGUUCCCUCUUUUUUUUCUGCUAAAUCAGAUGUUUGUAAGUAAUAAUUAGAGGUAAGAUUAUUAUGUGUGACUUACCUGCAAUCUGUUAUAUUAUUAUUGUGUUUUUACAACUUUUUGAUGCCUGUACUUUCUUUUUCUGUUGUUUCCGUGCAGCAUUUCAAGCUCUUGCUUGCUUCGACAGAUCCUGAACAUCAAAACUGCAUUUAAUUGGAAAACUGGUAGAAUUGGGUCAUCUAAACUCCUGUUUCCUAUUACUAGCAGUCUAGCACAGGGGUGUGGAAGCAAAAAAGAGGGUUUGGGUCUGUAUGCAUGUGUCAUGUUAAAUGAGAAAACCCAGGAGGGAGGACUGAGCUUUUUUCCUCCGGAUUUACAAACUGAAACUGAUAGAUCACAGAUUCACAAUACCGGGUAGGAUCCACCCUUUAUUUUGAAUUGCAUGGUAUCGAUUCUCAAAAUGUUAUGACAUCCCUGAUAUCUCCAUUUGCGGAUGGAAGAUGAUCUCUCACUUAUUGAACUGUGUAUUAAGCAGUACAAAGUUCCUCCUGAGCGCAGAAUUUUGUUGUUAACCAGAAUUAGAUAUGCCCAUUCCUUGCGGUCAUCUAGAAUAUGCAAGUUGUUAACCUGAUAUCUCCAUUUGCGGAUGGAAGAUGAUCUCUCACUUCUUGCCUUUGGUAUGCAAGAACUAGUGUCACUCUUGCUAAUGAGCCUGAAUACACAAAUGAAUUAAUCAGGAUUGUGAAAUCCGAAGAUACAAUCUCUACGAAUAUUAGAACACUGGCAAUGCAUGCCUUGGCAUCUCAGUUAGCUGUAUAUUCAUCAUCUCAUGAAAGGGCAGCUAUUUUGAGCAGAUCAAGCAUUAGUUUUACUGGGGGUAAUCGCAUGACUCUCCUAGCCAUUCCACAGGGAGCUAUUUUAUCACUGAAUAGCUCUAAUGACCCAUCAUCAAUUGCUUUUUGUUGAAGCUCUACUACAUUUUUUUCUGAUUCAUCUCACAUCUAUGUCAAGUUCACAUAGCGUUACUCGUGGGGCAGCACUACACAAUUCCUUGUUGAAAUAGGGGACUCUAAGCUUAAGUGUGCCCUCAGAAAAAGUCGUUAGGAGUACUUCAAUGGAGAAUGCACCUGGUAUGCUUGAAAGCUAAAGUUUAUAAUCUAUUAUGUCUUAUUCUUUAUUACAAUUAAUAAAUCAUCUAUUCUCUAUGCUGAAUUUCUUAUUUCAGUUAAUAUUUAAUAUGCAAGUAGGAUGAAUUAUUGUUGAUGGAAGGUGAUGCAAAAAUGAUGUAUGCCGGGUCCUUUUAUAAUUGUUUAGUAAUUUACCGUAGAAGUCCACGAGCUAAUGAGUUGUUAAACUUUGUUUUUACAUGCUCAUCGUUUAGUAUACAAUGAUUGUCAUUUAUUUGGGAAUUGAAUAGUGAAUUAAUAUUUAUAUUCCCAAAUGGGUUAAUAGUUCUAUUACUCUGCUGGCUGCCUGGCUCCAGUUCAAGUAUCAGUUUUUCUAAUGUAAACUCGACCCGGCUAGCUUGAGUAAACUAGACUUGACUUACAAAUCAAUAUUUGUUCUGAUAAUUCUCGACGUGAGCGAGGGCCGAACAAUAUGUUCGAAGAAACAGAGAAUAAACACAUCACUUGGAUUAUCUAAUGACGCUUAACUCGACUCAGACUUAUUUAUUGUGCUAGCAAUGCAAACUCGGACUCUAACGAAUACUAACUCGGGUUACAGCAAGGGCCCUGGAUGAAAGCAUCAGGGUUGCUCUCGCCUAAUUAAUAUGCUUUGGCAAAGGGGAAUAUAAUUAUAGAGAAUCUGAUGUGCAGAAGAAACAAGUAUAAGCUGCUUGAUUUCUUCUAUUACUGAUUAUUUAAUACGCAAGUAGAGUUAAUAGUUGUUGAUGAAGGUGAUGUUAAAAUUGAUGUUUUGCUUAUAUAUGCUGAGUCAUUUCAUCAUUAUUUAGUAAUUAGUUGUGAAAUUAUGAGCUGAUCUGUUGUUCAGCUUUGUUUUACAUGAUCUCAGUUUAGUAAUAUAAUGAUUGUAUUUGUUUACUAAUUUGCCAGCUUCAUGCAGUUCAACUCCUUUAUAUAGAGUUGUUUGGUUUGUGGCGAAGAAUAACAAAUUAAUAUGGCUGAAGCAAUUGUGUCGAUUGUUGUGGGAAGGCUCACUGAUUUGUUAACUGAAAAACCUCAAAUCCUUCAUGAAGUGAGAGAUGAAAUUGAAGCCGCUGUAGCUGGGUUCAUGCAGAUGAAAUUUUUUUUACCAGAUGCUGAUUCAAGGAUCGAUGUAGAAAGAAUCGGCAUCUUGCUCCGGGAUGUACGAGAGCUUGCCUAUGAUGCUGAACAUGCUGUCAAAAGUUUUGUUAUUAAAGCCUCAUCCACUAAAAAACCAUUUCAGUGGAUGAACAGAGGCAAGUUUUCAAGGAAGAUGAAAUAUAUACAAAAAAAGAUGUCCAUCUUCUUCGAUUUAUUUUCUGAUUAUAAUAUCAGACCAACUUCUGAAUCAUCAACUUCCUCCAACAGAGAAUCGGGAAAACUAAAGCGAUUUCACUCUUUCACUACUCCUGAACCAGAGAUAUUUGUUGGAUUUCAUGAAGACGUCGAACAUUUGGUGCAACAUUUGGUGAAUGAAGCUGAUGAUUCUUACCCACUUAUAUCUAUUUGUGGAAUGGGGGGUCUGGGAAAGACCACUCUAGCUCAAAAGAUAUACAAUCACUCCGCCAUCAAGACUCACUUUGCCGGUUUAGCAUGGGUAUCAAUCUCGCGAAAGUGGCAAACAGAUCGGGUGUUGCAGAGAAUUCUUAUAUGUCUCGUCCCUGAGAACAAAAACUCUAUCCUUAAUAUGGAGACUGACAAGCUAGUGGAGUAUUUGCUACAAAUCUAGGAAAGGAAAAAAUGCUUGAUAGUCCUCGAUGACAUAUGGUCAACACAUGAUUGGAAUGCAUUAAAAGCUGCAUUUCCAGCCGGGAAGUCCAUAAGCAAAUUAAUGCUUACAAGCCGUAAUGCUGAAGUUGCUGAGCAUGUAAAUUUGAACGGAUUCAUUCACCAGCCAGAAUGUCUAAGUCCAGAACAAAGUUGGGAGCUACUCAAGUUGAAAGCACUUCACACUGGGAAUUGUCUAGGUACAUAAUUUUACUUAUGGUUCAUAUACUUCUUUUUAUAAUGUGUUUUGUCCGACAACCUUAUAAACAAUAGAACCAUAUUUUUUGUUAAUUGAGUUCGAUAAGUGUGGUUAUAGAUCUGUCUGACAACCUUAAGGAACACUGUUUGAAUUCGUUAGUUUGUUUACAAACCUAUGUAAUAGAAUUGUAAACGAAUCUAAUUAGGUGCCCUCUUGAGGUUAAUUUAACGAACUCAAGUUUGAACCACAUAUUUUGUUUAAGAACCUUAACGAAAUUUAUGGGGUUCAGUAAUUUUUGGUCGUGUUGGCUCAAAGUUUAUCCGAGUUAAGUUCGUUUAGGGCUCUAACUUGAAAGUGUCUUUUAAACAUUUGCAUUAGUUGAACGACUAAAUUGAAUAUUAUCUUGGCUUGUGUGUGUGUGUGUCUAUAUAUAUACACACAUAUGAUUCCCGUUUCUUGUGUGUUGCAGACAUUACCAGAGAUGUAAAAAGGAUGGAAGAACUGGGAAGGGAAAUGGUUGAACAUUGUGCCGGUCUUCUACUAGCUAUAGUCGUUUUGGGUGGAGUUCUUGUAACAAAACCGUCGUUGAUAGAGUGGGAGAAAGUUUAUCGUGAUAGUAAAUCAUCCCUGAAGGCAGGGAAAGGACUGGGAGAAGCCUAUCAAAGAGAAAUAUUAAGUUUUUUAGUUUGGAGCUACAAUGAUUUACCCCCUCAACUGAAGCCAUGCUUUUUAUAUUUAUCAAAGUUUGGUGAAGAUAAAUGGAUAAAACUGGAGACUUUGUAUCAACUAUGGAUCGCUGAGGGAAUGAUACUCUCGAGUGACAAAAGAGAAGGAGAAACAAUGAUACAAGUGGCUGAAUCAUACAUGGGAGAACUAGUCCACAGGAGUAUGGUUCAAGUGAGAUUUAACAAUGUGGAAUCAUCACUUACAAAGUUUAAAGAUUGUUCUCUGCACGACCUCAUGAGAGACAUGUCGUUAAUACAAGCAAAAGCAGAAGAUUUUUUUGAAGAAAUACAUUUCCAAAGCGGAAAUCAGUUUCAUCUCAAAUCUACUGCAGAUUCAAGGUCAGCUUGCACUCGACUUGUGAUUCGUUUGGAUGAGGAAUAUUCUAGCAAAAAAGCUAAUGACUACUUUUCUAAGAAAGGCAAUGAAAAAUGCUAUCGAUCAGUGUUACUCUUUGGUGACUCUGCUCCCACAAGUUUGCCACGGGCAUUGGGGUCACAUGUAUCCAAUUUUAGGUUCCUAAAAGUGUUUUCUGUGGAGAAUUACAGAAAUUUUUCUGGUGCAUUUUCUCAUAUUAAUUUUGGAAGAGGAUUAGGGGACCUUGUUUACUUGCGAUAUCUUAGUGUAAGAGAGACUAAUUUGUUGGUUUUUCCAUCUCUAAAAAAGUUGGUGCUGCUGCAAACUCUUAAAUUGGAUAUUAACAACGUGAACUAUGUUUUACCAUGGCUGUCAAGAGAUGUUCUGGUGAAGCUGGAUUGUUUGAGGCAUUUGUAUCUGCCUAAAUAUAAAGUUUACGUUUUGGGAUGGAAAUCGAAAUUUCGGUUCAAUGGGUUGAGCAAGUUAGAGACUCUAGAGAACUUUAACACUACUUGGUGUGAGGCUAAGGAUCUACAUGAACUAAUCAAUCUUCGUAAGCUAACGCUAACGGUGAGAGAUAGCUUUGAUAUUCUGGAAAUAGUGAUGAAAAACUUGGGUGAUAUAGCCUCCUCACCAUCUUCAUGUCUGAGGUACUUGGGUGUCAGUAUUAUUAAUUGUGGAAUCAUGCUGAACAAUGGUCUUACUAUCUUAAAACAAUUGGUACAUGCUGACAAUCGGAACCUUCGGGACUUGAAAAUAUAUGAGCGUAUCGCAGAGUUGGGUCUAAUAUUUCUGCGUCAAUAUGUAUCUACAAUUGGUAUUACAAGUUUAACUUUAGCGAGUUCAUGCCUAGAAGAAGAUCCAAUGCCAAUACUGGAAAUGCUUCCAAUGUUGGGUGCUCUCCACAUGUUUGGGAGGAAUCCAUAUGUGGGGAAGGAGAUGGUGUGCUCCGCAACCGGUUUUCCUAAGCUCACCAUUCUUUAUUUCUACGGCUUCCCGAACCUUGAAAAAUGGAGGGUGGAGAAAGGAAGCAUGCCCAUGCUUUCAUAUUUGUGUAUUGGAAAAUGUAAGAAAUUGGAGGAGCUUCCACAAGGUAUGAUGUUCCUCAAUUCCCUUGUAGGAAUAUUCCUACAACAAAUGCCUCAAGAUUUCAAUUAUAGGAUCACAAGAGAGGAUGGUGGAGAAGGACCCGACUUUCACAAAAUUUCUCACGUCCCUAGAGUUAGUAUCAACAAUCAAAAUUAUGAUUCUAUGUUUUCCGUAUUCAUGUAAGGUUUUUUCGAUAUUAUGAAAAUCAGUUUUUUGUUUUCCAUACUUUAAGUUGUUAAGUUAUAAUUUACUUUCUAUUAAAACUAGCUUAUAACCUGUGCAACGCACUAGCGGUUAUAAUAUUUGUUAUUUUAUCAUAUAUAGUUUUAAUUUAAUUAAUUUUAUCGUAAAAAUAAAAUUAUGAUAGAAUAAUGUGGUUAAAUAAAUUAUUAUUUAACAGCUGAAUAAAUUCUUAAUACUUAAGUCCGUCAAAUGACUAAUUAAAAAUUAGGUCAAACAUAUAUUUUGAUGAGAAUGUUAAAUAUAUUUAUUUACAUGUUAUAAUUUAAGGAGAUCUAUAAACCCAUAUAUAAAUCAACCAAUCAACCUCAUAAUAUUUCGUUAGUAAUAAUUAAUAAUAUAGUAUAAAACAUAUUAUAAGUCAAAGAGACGCGUAAUCCCAAAUAUCGAUCCAUUACCUAAUUUUUAAUGUUUUGAUUCGAUAGAUAAUAAAAAAAUAUUAUAACAUAUUAUAAAUUAAUGAGGUCCGUGGGUUGAAUACCAACGGUCUCACCAAACUCGAUUGAUCGACCGACCAACUAACCAAUUGAACUUUUCAUUUUUCGGUUUUCGGCUUUAACAGUAUAAUAAUAUAUAGUAUAGUAUAAAUUUAUAAUAUCAUUUUUAAUGUGAGACCGUUAGAAUAUUUAAAAAUAAUGUUAAUUAAUUUCGGUUGAAAAAUAUCACCUGUUAUUUAUUAAUAAAUAUAUAUAAUAAUAUUAUGUUUUUAUACAUAUGUCGCCUGUGUUAAUUGUAGAAAAAUGAUUUUUUAGUUAGAAAAAAAUAUUUAUCCUGAACUCUAAAUCUUUAAAAUUAAAAAAAAACAUUUUUUUCAACGGAGAAGUUGUGUUUGUUGAAUUACAUUUAGUUUCAAAUUGCAAAAAUACUUUCUUAAAAAUUUUAAAAAGAUUGUAUAUUAUCGAAAAAGAACUCUAAACAUGUGUUAUAUCCUUAAAUUCUAUACUCUCUGACGCAGAAAAAUAAAUUAUAUUCGAAACAGAUUAUUAAUUUAAACUUAUAGUAGAGAGGUGUUUCGGUGAAGACCCCCGCUUAGUGCACAAUAAAAUAAAUAGAUAUAAUAAGAAUAUAAUAUCUUAGCCAUGUCCUUCUUCACACAGGACUUACCUAAAUAGUUCCUAAUGCAUCUGUGAACUGAGGACUUACCUAAACAGUUCCUAUUAUCACGAAUGCAUCCAUGAACUGAGCUAAUAAUCCUUCAAAACAUAAUGCAACGAACCUCGUAAUCUCUGUAAGCCACGAGACCUAGUCUCAACUAUUCUAAUAAGUCGUCCCCAAUCAUUCUUAUCUAAUGUCAUAUCACCCGUCCCCAAUCAUUCUUAUCUAAUGUCAUAUCACCCGUGAGAUUUAAAGCUCUCAUGUCCAAACUUAAUUGAUUAGCCCAUGUCCGACGAGGCUGACUUCUCUUUCUCUAGUCAUUCAUUAUUCUUGAGGUGAACAACAGUUAAAAAAAUUCAGAGCCGAGGUAUUCUUACACAGCAAAAUAUCGAUUUAUGAUAAUGUUGGACAGCAGAAAAUGAAAAGGAAGUAAUAUUUCACUAACCAUAUGUGAUAUCCAAUCCCAACAUUGAAAAUUGCUCACUCGAGAGAGACUAUAUUAGUAUCUCAUUCAUUAUUCUCGAAAUGGACAAGUGUUGAAGGAAUCCCGGAGCCACAAAUAUAACAACCUAACGACAGAAUAUUAAUUUAUGAUAGUACUGGACAGCAGAAAAUCAGAGAAAGUAAUUUUUCACUAGCCAAUAUGUGAUAUAUUUUCAUGCUGCCAACACAACAGAGUACAUUGUUGCCCUCAGGUUGCAACAAAACACAAAACUAGGACACUUUUAACUCUCGACUCCGCCCUUUGUUCAAACUUUUUCUUUGUGAUCUUUCUUUUCUUUAUAGUUAAACUACAAUAUAUACAGCGUUUAGGACUGGGAAACUGCUCUCUUCAAGACGCUGAAGGCAACGAGCAUAAGCAGUGAUAUCAUAAUCUUCUUUGAAGCAAGAAUCCGCAAGUUCACCUUCAUGCCAUGGUCUCUCAUGAGCUUCACUGUUGCCCUAAUUACUGAAAUAAGCCAGAAUACAACGGACAAGAACACCACUUUCAUUGUGUCUGCAGGUCCAUUCACACUUCUUGUGCCUCCCGACACCUCGACAUAGGACCAAGCAGCGCCUUGAUUAUCGGUAGUUCCACUCUGAUUGAGGCCAAGUUUCUCGUUCAACCAACAUGAUAAAGUCACAAGCAGCUUUGCAAGCCAUGCAAUCUCAUCAUUGGAGACUGGUCGCUUCAACCAGUCACCCCUGUAUUUCGUACCGGUUUGCUUCUUGUUGCGUAUCAUUCUAGGACUAAAUAUCUCAUCACGUGGAUGCUGAUUUUCUCUUGUCUCGGGGACUGCUUGUGUGUUCCUUGGAGUAGAGUUACCAAAUAAGCACCCCAUCUGGGCUUUGAUAGAAUCUAAACAAGCCAUAUUGUGAGCAUGAUUAUCUCCCAUGACAGUCUGCAGCUCCGACUCAGCACGCAACACAAAGAGCUGCAAUAACAAUAUGACUAGUGAGUGAGACUUGAGAUUUAGAAUGACACAAUUCCAUUCCUAGAAUUUAUAUAGUUCAUACAUAUAUAUUUAAGUACACUAUAUGCUAAAAGUGUUGGAAUAACCUUAAAUUUAAUUAUUUUUAAUAGAGUUAAUUGCAGAGUGUGUACCUCUAGUUUGAGGCUUGUGCACUUGGUGUACCUCAGUUUUGGUGUCUAGCAAUGUGUGUACCUCAGCUUUGAAGAUGCUUGCACAGUGUGUACUUUCGUGAGUUUGCAGCUUAACGGCGUUAGAUUGGAGGGACAGCGGGAUAAUUUGACAAAGAAAAAGGGAGGGGCAACGGCUAUAUGUUUGUAUGUGUUAUAUGCACUCUACUAUAUGGUCUGUAGUCGGGCUAGCUUAUGGACCUUGUGUUGAACAAAAGAAUGGAGUGCGUCGCGAGAAUGUUGAUGAUUAUGCUACUUCAGGACAAGAAUUGUUAAAGAGAAAACCGGCUCAAAUAACUGAUGAAGGCAAUAUUGUUAAAGAGCCAUGAAGAACCAAAGCACUCUCACCGGCUUGAUGUACUGUAUAGUUUGUGGCCUGAUACAUGUUGCAAAGGUUCUUAGCACUUUCACUUCUUGAUGCAUUAUAUUUCUUGUAUUCACCCAUGGAUAAAUGCAUAAUCAAGACACUGAAAAAUUAUGUGCCAUCACAGAAUAUUAGAUCAUAAUAGUAAUGAUAAGCAUGGUUUAUCCCUUAAGCAAAAUUAAGACAGUAAGCCGUUUUGUCAACUCGAAAAAAAGAUCUAGAAUAUAAAAUAGUAUUUUCUUUCCAGUACCUCUGUACUUGCAAUGCUGUAUAUUUGUAAAUAAUAUGGUAUUUAACUGUAUUACAGAAGUGGUAUAAGAAUAAACAGACAUAAAGCAUUCUCUCUUGUUCACUACUUGUCCAUAGAUAUUUAAAACAUUUUAAUCCCCUUGUAUAGUAAACAGAAUUGUAGCAAGUUCUAACUGAUCCAUUCUUGCUGUCAUACUCCCUUUAUCAGAAUAUUCUUCCCCAUUUGCGCCACGAGUAAGAGUAUUACAUAGAUUCAGCUGAUCAGACAAUGCUGCUGUAAAUUCAGAUGAAUCCUCAAUGUUUUCUAGUUCAUUAUCCUUUCCUGAAGGUUAAUUCACUUGUAACAACUCUUCUUCUGAAGAAGCAGAACCUUUCUUAUCGUCGGGUCUAAAGCCAUUCCAUUGUUCAACACAAGGACCGUAAGCCCAACUGCAAACAAGAUAGUAGAAGAGGUUUACUGAACUCGUGAUUGCAAGAAGCCAGUAGUAACUCUCAAAAUGUCCCUUGUUGAUAUUACUUGAAGUCCAGCUCUCUUUUCCUCCUUUACUUGAAACAUUGUUUCCGGUACUCAAUAUAGCACUAGCUAACAAGUUUGCAAAUGCCAUCCCUAGCCCGAACAUGGCUGAUGCAAUGCUGGACAUGCUGUUAGGGAAUUCUGAAUAGUAAAAUUCUGUUUGAGCUAUUGAGUUGAAAGCCUCGCCUAAUCCACUUAAAACAUGUUGUGGUACUAACCAAUAUGCAGACAUGUUAACCACACCGCUUGGAUUUUCUCUAAAACCUUGUUCGAUUGCUUUGGUUCGUCUUAUAUGUUCCACAAUGGCUGAGACAACCAUAGCCAAGAAUACUAUUAUCAUGUAAAAUAAUUGAAUAUAAGAGCAGUAUCAGUCGAAGUUGCUUAUGUAGAUACUUUAAUGACCAAAGUCGAUCACUAAAAAAAAUCUUUUGAUACCUUAUCAGUGGGCACAAGUCGUUCUGAAUCUUUGAGAGUAUGUGUAAUAGUAGAAUCUGGAGAAGGAAGUGUCAUUCUUCUGUUCUUGUAAACAACUGCAAUCACUUGCAUGAAGCUACUAAACAAGUUUGUUUUGACUUUUGGUUUGAUAUAUAAAGAAGUUGCAAUCAAGAAAAGAGCAGUUGAAAGGAACAUGAGAAGGGCUGGAACUCCAAAACCCACUUUCCAGUACCCCAGAUGAUCUUGAAUGUAGACAAUGCAAGUGAAAGCAAGCACGACUGCAACAGCUGCGGAAGCGUAUUACCAUCCGAAGAACCGUUCUAGCAUCCUUUUAUUCAUGGGAUUGUCCUUGUCAUCUAUUUGGUCAGCCCCAAAUGCUAGUGAACAAGGCCUAACACCACCUGCUCCAAUUGACAUAAGAACAAAGGACGAGAGCAAAACCAAGUACUGCAUUGUAGAAGUAUAUUCAAAGGUCUGGUGUUGCAACACAUAAAUGAGAUUCUAGGUUAUAAAUGAGGAGACAAAGAAUGUCUUCUUGUGCCGCCAAAGAUGAGUAGUAAACAAGAAGCCUCCAUUGGAAAUGUGUGUGUUGCCCUUUGUGAAGUAACGGUGUUAAUUCUCAGCUGACGGAAGUACACACAUUGCAAGCAUCUUUAAACUAUAGGUACACAGUUUGCUAGAUAUGAAAGGAAGGGUACACAAAGUGCACAAGCCUCAAACUAGAGGUACACACUAUGCAAUUUACUCUUAUUAAUAUUUGUUUAGUUAUAUAUUUUGAGGAUUAGUUUUAGAUUGAAGUAGUUGGAUGUUUGUUGUAGAGGUACAAGAAUUAAUACAAAUCAAUUUUAUAUUCUACACUUGGCAUUGGAGCCAGGUUACGCCGCCAGGCGGUGGUGAAGCCGCCGCUAGUGGUGAAGGCACAUAGUGAGUGUUUGACGAGAUAGUUUCAGGUAGGCGUUGCAGAAGGAUUGUGGCAAAGCUGCAUGUGUAGUAUGGGAUGCAUGUAUAGUAUGAGGCUGCCAAGAAAGACGAGGCGAUGCCUACUGAAGGUGGAAAAUGAGAUAGAGUGGAAGAAGGUCAUGCAGAACGAGAUGGAUCUUGCGUUUUUUAUGACGGAGUUGAACGAGAACCUCUCCUUCAAAAUUAUGGGUGAUUAUGUGUACCUGGAGAGAAUUUUAGAAUUAUGGGUGAUUAUGUGUACCUGGAGAAAAGUGCUCCAGUGAAUUUGGCGUUGAUGAGAAGUGCAUCAACAAAUUGGUGUUGAUGAGAAGUGCAUUGACAAAUCGGUGGUGGUGAGAAGUGCAUCACAUAUAGAGGUGGCAAUCGUUUCGUUUCGUAUACUUCUGUUUCGUGUAUUUUCAUGUUUCGUGUACUCAAAGGUGAAACCCGUAUCCGCCCGUUAUCAAUUUCGUGUACCAAAUUUGAAACCCGUAUCCGAUCCGAAACGUUUCGUGUAUUUUUCAUGUAAUCAAAAAAUAGCUUUAAUAUAUAUUUUUCUAUAUAAUUUACUAAAUAUGAAUGAUAUAUUUAUGCUCGCAUACAAUUAUCUACAAAUUUGUUAAUGUAUCUAUAAUAUGUAUCUACAUAUACAUAUAAAUAUAUAUUUAUUUAACACAAUUAUAUAUAUAUAAUAUAUUAUACCAAAUAUAUAAUGAAAUCUAUGUAUAAAUAUUUCGUGUACUUUCGUGUAUUUCGUGUACCCAAAAUGAAACCAAUAUUUGACACGAAAUCUAUCGUGUAAUUUCGUGUUCGUAAACUUUCGUGUUUCGUGUAUCAAAAAUCAAAACUCAUAUCCAUUUUUUUCGUGUCGUUUCGUUUCGUGUUAGCGUGUUACGUGUCAAAUUGCCAGGCCUAAUCACAUAUGAAGAGAAGUGCUUCAUAAACUCUCUUAAGUAAAUUUAAGAUUAUGGGGUGAUUGUUGGAAUAAUAUUAGAGGGGUGUAUUGGAUUGAGAUUUUAAAGCCUUUUUUUGCAUUCAUAAAAUCCGAGGGUAUUGGAUUGGGAUUGUUUGAAAUCAAUUAAAAUCUUGAGGUAUUCAAUUGAGAUUUUAAAUUAUACUACAAAAUCCGGUGGUAUUCACUUGGGAAUUUAAAUUAUGAUUUAAAAUCCGAUGGUAUUCAAUUGGGAUUGUUUCAAAUCCAUUAAAAUCUGAUGGUUUUCAAAUGCUGAUGGAUUUUUUUGCAUUUCAUAAAAUGAUGGAUUUUGUGGCAUUCUUCGGUGUAUUUUUUUACAAUUGCGAUAUAGACUAAAAAAAAAAUAUAAUAGGAUGUUCAUAGUGCAACGAAUCUUGCCCGUGUUGCGCACACGGGCAAUUUUUAUUUUCUAUAUUUUAAUAAUUGAUUGCAAUGUCUUUUUAAUUGUAACGCGCUCAAUAACAAAUUCAUAGACGAAUACUGUACAAUAAGAUGUAUAGAGACAUUGAAUGUUAAUUUAUUAGAUCAAAGUAAAUAUAAGCUGUUUUAGAUGGUUGGAGCAAUAGUUUUCAAACUUGAGGCCAAGAAAGAAAGUAAAUACAAUGCAGAAAGAAAGUGUACGAUAAUCAUGAAAGAAAAUAAUUGAAAUAUAAUUAUAUUUAGAUUUUUCAGAAAAAGUAAAAUAAAAUUCCCGUGUGCGAAGCACGGGCAAAAUUUGCUAGUUCUUACAAAAAGAAGAGAGGGGGAAAUAAACCUAUAGCAGCCGUUGUCCGCCAUCAUCACCAUCACUAAAUAACUGCAAAUCUUUGUUCCAAUUCUCAUGCAAGAAAGAGCCAUCAGCGUCAUUUUCACACAAUCCAUCCUCCCAGUCCUUGUAAAGCAAAAAAGAACAAGGGAUUUACAUAUAAACCUCUGAAAAAGAGUUGAAGAAUGCGCACGCGCGCACACACAAAAGAGAUGCAGAUAUGUCUUUAUACCUGCAGCUGUUCUCUGAUUGAUGGAACAAAUCUGUACAAGUUAUUGUGUAUGGGUUUGGAUGACCCAGAAGGCUUAGAAUGGAAGACAGUGUCCACAUUCUUUAUAAGAUUUAUCAGCUCACUGGACGAUGUCAAUAUGCUUAAGACCUGCGUAAGAAAUACAAGAAACAUAUACAAAAAUAAAUAAACAGAAACUACAACCAAUUGAUGAUCUUGGGAUAAAUAUAUAUACGGAUUUUAAAAUACAAAUUCCCCACUAUUAUCAAAAUACUGCCGAGACCGAUACUCGGACACGUAACCAUGUUGAACACUUUUAGCCGAGUCCAUGUAAUAUAGAUUCCCCAUACGUAAGCUUACCAGAUGUAUCCCCAUGAGCAACCAUAAAUUAAAAGAAGCUCAAAGAAAAUAAUUAGCUUUUUGUUGUGGUUCAUUCAGAUGUAUCCAUCAAGCAUUUUCCAGGACCACUGAAGCAAUCUAUGCAAAACCAUGGUUGAACAUCACUAACUACACAAGUAGCCUUCCUCUUGUGUUCUGCUUAUCCAGGUAAAAAAGAAAAGACUACAUGUCUUUUUUUGCUAGCAUGUCUUAAAAUGUACUAUUAUAUAAUUUUCUUAGUUUUUUAAUAAUUUCACCCAUCUAUAAAAGUAUAAACAGAGGACAAGAACAUAUAUCACACCUUUUGUGCUUCUUUACACCUCAACAGAGAACCAAGCAGGGCCUUGAUUAUCGGUGGUUCCACUACGAUUCAGGCCAAGUUUCUCAUGAUAAAGUCAAGGAGCUUUGCUGCUUUGCAAGCCAUUCCAUCUCCUUAGCGGAGACCGGCCACUAUUGUCCGGGCAUGUGUGGGUGAACUUAAUUUGAAAUAUAAUCAUUUAUUUUGAGAACAAUUUCACAUUCACAUACUAUUAAAUAAUAUUAAGUGUUUAGAGGACAUUUAGCAGAAAAUACACAUUUACAUACUUUCUCUUCCAGAUAUAAGUAAUUUAUUUCAAAAUACAAAAUAAGUUAAACGCCCAAGAUGUUUGAAUCAGUGAAUUACGCAAAUAUUUAAGAAUGAGAAAUCAUGGAGUAUGUUAUAAUACUCAAGUGCUUGUUACAUUCAACAUUUUACGGGAAAAAAGUAAAUUAAAUAUUUGCAAGAGAAUUAAUAGCAAAAAACGGAGCAAAUGUGUUCCAAAUUUUAAUUUUAAUAAAGCAAGUAAUGCUAUUGUAUUAGUUCUGGAAACAAAACGUAAUUUUCUCAUGAUGCAGACGCAGCAAACCGAUGAUUCCAAGUGUCUGUUAGCAGAAGGGGAGAGUGAAGAAGAAUAGAGAGUAUGAAGUGAUUUGCUUUGCUAUGAGGAGGUUAUGCAGGAAGCGGAACCAAGAGCGGUGAUGUUUGCAGAAACACAAGAGAAAGACUUCAAAUGGCAUCUUGAAAAGGAAUGAGAGCUGGCAAUUGGAGCAAACACAGCAACGACAACAAAAGUAAUCAAGGAAGAUGAGUAGGAUAGGCUUGUGAAACUGAGCUCCUGAAUUUCUGUUCUGCUUAGGAUUUUCGACAUAAUAGAGUUAUGAAUAGUAAUUACAAAAUUGAAAAAGUUGAACCAUAAUAUCAAACACAGAAGGGAAAAAAAUGGUUUUAAUAUGAACACCAAUCGACUCAAUCAAUUUGAUUACUAAAUUGACUAAGUGCUGCUUUAAACGGGUGCCCAAGACAUUAGUGAUGAAAAAGAUUAAAGUCGAUAAUUAGUGAUGAAAAAGAUAUAAAGAGCUUGCUUGGCCAGUACUUAAAGUCCUGGACAUUAUAAUCAUGUGGUGUAAUCACAUGGUUUAAUGAAUUAUUGUUGAAUUUUGCAACCAAAGAAGCAUGAAAAUGAUGAAAGACUGUCUCAGAGUCAUAUACAGUGGCUCCAUUAUAGUUUAAUUAAUAUACUUUGGCAAAGGGCAAUACUGGACAGCAAUAGAGAAUAUAAAGUGAUCACUCCUCACUUUAUAUUCUAGGUCAAAUUUGUUAUACAAAUUUACACUUUACACUUUACACUUUGUUAUACAAAUUUGUCCACUAAUUUCACAAUGAUCGUAUCAGGAACGAGUUCAAGUAUAUCAGAAGUAUAUUCUAGGUCUAAGCAAAAAUCUUUUAACACAAGUUUGUUCAAUUAACAACAGUCAUAAGCUGUAAGAUCAAUAAUAGACUGGAUGCAAAUGCUAUUUAACAAAAACGUUACCAACAUCGCAUCGCAACAACAAAUAACACCGAUAAAAGACCGAAAACAAACACAAUCCACCAAAAUAUGACCAGCUUCGCAUCGCAAGGUCAUGGAAUUUGAACUUAAGAUUCUAUAUGUUAUGUUUUAAGUCUGAACUCAAGUUUUGCCUAUAUCAGAUCAUAUUCCAAACUCAACUAAUGUGGGAGACUUGUGUAAUGAGUGCAACUGACCUUUUGCAACAAACAAGCACAUCACUUCAAACUCUCCGACUAGCUUUUUCUUUUUAAAAUAAAAAGAAAACAGCAGCAAUUAUGAUCUCUCCAUUAAAGAUAACAAGUUCUGCAACUUUCAAAAUUAUUUGCUUUAUAUAGACUUGUUUGGUUUCCAAUGUGCUGAAGACACCAAUACAUUUGAGCCUUAUCAAAUUUAUUACUCCCUCAUCCCAUUUUUAACUGUACUUUAUAUAGACUUGUUUGGUUUCUGCUGAAAAAAAAGUUAAACGAAUUAAUAUGGCUGAAGCAAUUGUGUCGAUUGUUAUGGGAAGGCUCGCUGAUUUAUAGAUUGAAAAACCUCAAAUCCUUAACGAAGUGAGCGAUGAAAUUCAACUAGCUGUGACGGAGCUCAUGCGGAUAAAGACAUUCUUACCUGAUGCUGACUCAAGGAUUGAUGUAGAAAGAAUCCGCAUUUUGCUCGGGGAGGUACGAGAGCUUGCCUAUGAUGCUGAACAUGCUGUCGAAAGUUUUGUUAUUAAAGCCUCAUCCACUAAAAAACCAUUUCAGUGGAUGAACAGAGUCAGAUUUUCAAGAAAGAUGAAAGAUAUACAUAAAAAGAUGUCCCUCCUCUUCAAUUUAUUUUCCGAUUAUAAUAUCAGACCAACUUCAGAAUCAUCAACUUCCUCCAACAGGGAAGAUGGUGAAGAAGGACCCGACUUUCACAAAAUUUCUCAUGUCCGUAGACUCAUUAUUGAUGAUCAGGACUACAUUUGAAUGUUCUUGUAAGUUUGCAAGGUAUAAAGUUUUGUUUUGGUCGUGAAGAACAUAUUGCUUGAGAAAUUAUUUGAUCAUUUGCUUCUCAUUAACCUAAUUUUAUAUGAUUAAUUUAUUUUCCAUCAAAA